rnacentral:rRNA from 1 species
CGAUAACGAACGAGACCUGGCAUGCUAACUAGUUACGUGACCCACAAGCGGUCGGUGUCCCCCAACUUCUUAGAUGGAUAAGUGGCAUUCAGCCACCCGAGAUUGAGUAAUAAUAGGUCUGUGAUGCCCUUAGAUGUCCGGGGCUGCACGUGCGCUACACUGACUGGCUCAGCGUGUGCCUACCAUACGUGGCAGACGUGGGUAACCUGUUGAAUACCAUUGGUGAUGGUGAUCGGGGAUUGCAAUUAUUCCCCAUGAACGAGGAAUUCCCAGUAAGUGUGGGUCAUAGGCUUGUGUGAAGUCCCUACCCUUUGUACACACCGCCAGUUGCUACUACCGAUUGAAUGGCUA